rnacentral:lncRNA from 1 species
CCCCCAAUGACCCCAAAGGGCCCCCAAUGACCCCAAAAGGCCCCCAAUGACCCCAAAGGGCCCGCAGUGACCCCAAAGGCCCGCAGUGACCCCAAAGGGCCCGCAGUGACCCCAAAAGGCCCCAAUGACCCCAAAAGGCCCCCAAUGACCCCAAAGGGCCCGCAAUGACCCCAAAAGGCCGCCAAUGACCCCAAAGGGCCCGCAGUGACCCCAAAGGGGCCGCAGUGACCCCAAAAGGCCGCCAAUGACCCCAAAGGGCCCGCAGUGACCCCAAAGGGGCCGCAGUGACCCCAAAAGGCCCCAAUGACCCCAAAAGGCCC